AACGAACGCUGGCGGCAUGCCUAACACAUGCAAGUCGAACGAGACCUUCGGGUCUAGUGGCGCACGGGUGCGUAACGCGUGGGAACCUGCCUUUAGGUUCGGAAUAACUCAGAGAAAUUUGAGCUAAUACCGGAUGAUGUCUUCGGACCAAAGAUUUAUCGCCUUUAGAUGGGCCCGCGUUGGAUUAGCUAGUUGGUGGGGUAAAGGCCUACCAAGGCGACGAUCCAUAGCUGGUCUGAGAGGAUGAUCAGCCACACUGGGACUGAGACACGGCCCAGACUCCUACGGGAGGCAGCAGUGGGGAAUAUUGGACAACGGGCGAAAGCCUGAUCCAGCAAUGCCGCGUGAGUGAUGAAGGCCUUAGGGUUGUAAAGCUCUUUUACCCGAGAUGAUAAUGACAGUAUCGGGAGAAUAAGCUCCGGCUAACUCCGUG
rnacentral:rRNA from 1 species